GAAAGGUGGAGUGGGUGGAAGAGCCACCAAACAGAGACGGUUUCACAUAGAAAUCAUUAGCAAACACCACUCCCCUCUCCUAGUUUCCUCUGGGUUUGGGCAUUGGGGUCAGAUCCGCCCCUCUCGACUUUUCAAGGAGGCAUGUGUGUCGGUUUAUAGCAUUCAGCCAACAACCCCCUUGCUUCCCUGUUGAGUUUUCACCGCCUCUUUGUGACUCAGAGCAGAGUCCGCUAAACAAUGGCCAUGUGUUUUGUUCUAAGCCUUUUUAUACUCACUCUAUGUCCAGGUGCUGUGCUGGGUGAUUCGGUCCAGUCCAAGGAAUCCCAAGUGUCUGGAGUAGAAGGAAACUCAAUAACAUUCAGCUGUUCCUACAAUACCAGCGAUUUUUCGGGCGUCUAUCUCUCCUGGUACCGACAGUCUCCUAACCGAGCCCCGCAGUACAUUCUGCGGAGAGGGACAAAGGCAUACGCUGCUUAUAGCGAAAAUGCGGAUUUCGCCCAGGGGAGGUUUUCUUCCCAGGCCGAUGACAGCUCCACAGUUCUGAACAUCACAGCCCUGGAGCUGGCAGACACCGCGGUGUAUUACUGCGCCCUGCAGAGAGCACAGUGACAGACCCACACAGGAGACCUGCACAAAACCCUCCCUUCCCUACAGCGCUGGAGGUUGCAGACAUUGAAGCUGCCCAACAGUGCUCCUGAGGAGAGUGAUCACUAAAAACAGCGAUUUUGGCGUGAUUAAGUUGUUAAAGCAGCUCCAUUAAAACGACACCCCUAGAGAAUCACAGAAUUGUAGGACUGGAAGGCCCUGUGUUAUCUUCUAGACCAUCCCUGACAGUUGUUUGCUUAACCUCCCUUAAAAACCUCCAAUAAGGGAGAUUCCACAACCUCC